AUUGAACGCUGGCGGCAGGCCUAACACAUGCAAGUCGAGCGGAGCGGCGGAUGGGUGAGUAAUGCCUAGGCAUCUGCCUGGUAGUGGGGGAUAACGUCCGGAAACGGGCGCUAAUACCGCAUACUAUCAGAUGAGCCUAGGUCGGAUUAGCUAGUUGGUGGGGUAAUGGCCUACCAAGGCGACGAUCCGUAACUGGACUGAGAGGAGGAUCAGUCACACUGGAACUGAAACACGGCCCAGACUCCAACGGAAGGCAGCAGUGGAGAAUAGUGAACAAUGGGCGAAAGCCUGAUCCAGCCAUGCCGCGUGUGUGAAGAAGGUCUUCGGAUUGUAAAGCACUAUAAGUUAGGAGGCGUUACCAACAGAAUAAGCACCGGCUAACUUCGUUCCAGCAGCCGCGGUAAUUC
rnacentral:rRNA from 1 species